rnacentral:rRNA from 1 species
GACGGGGGGGGCAAGUGUUCUUCGGAAUGACUGGGCGUAAAGGGCACGUAGGCGGUGAAUCGGGUUGAAAGUGAAAGUCGCCAAAAAGUGGCGGAAUGCUCUCGAAACCAAUUCACUUGAGUGAGACAGAGGAGAGUGGAAUUUCGUGUGUAGGGGUGAAAUCCGUAAAUAUACGAAGGAACGCCAAAAGCGAAGGCAGCUCUCUGGGUCCCUACCGACGCUGGGGCGCGAAAGCAUGGGGAGCGAACAGG